GAUGAACGCUGGCGGCGUGCCUAAUACAUGCAAGUCGAGCGAACAGAUGAGGAGCUUGCUCCUCUGACGUUAGCGGCGGACGGGUGAGUAACACGUGGAUAACCUACCUAUAAGCCUGGGAUCACUUCGGGAAACCGGAGCUAAUACCGGAUAAUAUAUUGAACCGCAUGGUUCAAUAGUGAAAGACGGUUUUGCGGUCACUUAUCGAUGGAUCCGCGCCGCUUUAGCUAGUUGGUAAGGUAACGGCUUACCAAGGCGACGAUGCGUAGCCGACCUGAGAGGGUGAUCGGCCACACUGGAACUGAGACACGGUCCAGACUCCUACGGGAGGCAGCAGUAGGGAAUCUUCCGCAAUGGGCGAAAGCCUGACGGAGCGACGCCGCGUGAGUGAUGAAGGUCUUCGGAUCGUAAAACUCUGUUAUUAGGGAAGAACAAAUGUGUAAGUAACUAUGCACGUCUUGACGGUACCUAAUCAGAAAGCCACGGCUAACUACGUG
rnacentral:rRNA from 1 species